AGGGGUGAGAAUCCCGUCCUUGACACAGAUCUCCAGUGCUUUGUGAUGCGCUCUCAAAGAGUCGAGUUGUUUGGGAAUGCAGCUCAAAAUGGGUGGUAAAUUCCAUCUAAAGCUAAAUAUUGGCGAGAAACCGAUAGCGAACAAGUACCGUGAGGGAAAGAUGAAAAGCACUUUGGAAAGAGAGUUAAACAGUACGUGAAAUUGUUGAAAGGGAAACGAUUGAAGUCAGUCAUGCUUUCCGAGACUCAGCCGGUUCUGCCGGUGUACUUCUCGGUUUGCAGGCCAGCAUCAGUUUUUGGGCGGUGGAAAAGGUUGGCGGGAAUGUGGCAUCCUCGGAUGUGUUAUAGCCCGCUUUCGAAUACAUCGCCCGGGACUGAGGAACGCAGACGCCUCUUGUAGGUCGGGCUUCGGACACGUCCGUGCUUGGAUGCUG
rnacentral:rRNA from 1 species